CACAGAACACCAGUUUCAACUCUCUAGUUCACUCUUGUUCCUUUAGGUAUUUAUGUUCUGCUAUUGCAUUUCUCCCCAUUUGGAACAAUGGCCUAACAAGAUCCAGGUUGGGGAGCUGCUUUGCACAAUCUUGAAGGGCUGGAUCAUUGCUGUUUUAAGACUGCUGAUACUCUGUGCAGGUACAUGGCCCAGGGCAGCUACAAGGGCACUAGGAGAGAAGUCAAGAUGGUGACACAGAGUUUUCUAGGAUUGUAGAGCAGGCCAGUGUGUUUUCUCAUUGAAGAGGAGAUUAUAAUCACUGCCAGCCAGGAGGAAUUUAGGAAUGAAAGGCCAGAAACGAUAUUAUUUUCCCUUGAUGUGGCUUCAUUCUCCUGGGACCCGAGGAAUGACAGAUUCCCAUCAUAUGGCCUGAAGAGCUUUGCUGAUGGCUGUGUGAAAGGUAAAAAUAAUUUUUGUUAAAAUGAUACAAAAUAUCUAUUAGGAGCAAGAGAAUAGUCACAGUAUUUGUGUUGUGUUUAGUGUGGUUAGAUGGUUUUAGUUGUAAAAAGAGCAGGUUGUGUUUCAGUUUGCCAUGUAUUUCAUAUCAUUAUACAAUAAAGAUUACA